UGGCUUUCUCCUGUGCAAUCCCUGAGUUUUUGGUUGCAAUUCUGACACAACCCUUUCGGGUGGGCGGGACUUCUGAGAAGUCCUCUCCCAUAGGACAGUGGUUUCUCUUGAGUGAUAGUUCAGUGACCUGGAAGUGAUGUAGCCUCCAAGACAUUUUUUUUCCCCCACCUGGUCAACACCAUGAAUUUUGAGCCCCAAACAGGUUAUUUCUGCUGUCUGUGGUGUCUACUGAGGAUCUAAAGAACCUGUGGAACAUCAGAGACUUUGCAGCUACUGGAGCUAACCUUUGUACUGCUAUUGCUACAGAGGAAGCAGCAGAAAGCUGAGCUAACAGGCUGUUUUGCAGGUAAAUACUCUUUUAGUGGAACUGCAGGAUUUUUAUGGUAUAACUCAGACAGAAUCUACAUGAGCUAUUGUGGGAAGACAUUUAAACUACAUUUACAUACAGAUACAUGUAUUUUUUUAUUCCAUGUUACUUGGACGGGCUAAACAAGUUCAUAGUUCUGCCUGCUCCUUUUUCAGUGAAACGAAUGGAUUUUAUGAUGUAACUCUGACUGAAUAAUUAUCUAAAUUGAAAACUGCUGCAUUGCAUUACAAUGGAAGUGCUAAACAGCCACAUGCAUCAACUGCAGCUGUUGACAAGCAUAUGGACCUAUUGUUCGAGUCCGUGGUGGUGGAUGCUCUAUCAUAUCAGGAGUCGGUGGUGGUGGAUGCUCUACCAUAUCAGGAGUCUGACUAAGUACCUGUGCCUGAACCUCUCUGUGUCUAGUUCAAAAGACCUGAAAGACCUGCUGUAAGCAGGCACAGGAUAAUAUUUUAAAAGAACCUGUAAGGUGAGCAACACAACACAAUAUAAAUCUUUAUUAUUAUUGUACGCUGUACAGUUAGAAUAAACUUGCAUGCUCAGAAGCCACGUAUGAUUACAUCGCCUACAGGUUGCCUGAUGCUGAACUUCGGGCAGCUGCGUGCUCCGUGGAACAACCGCCUGUGGGAGGAGUCGUUGUGUUGCUGUUAGGAGUUUGGGUCGGAGUCCUGGGUUUGUGUUCCCUUUAAUCUCUUCAUUAGCCUUGCUAGUCACCAUUGCAGAGCACCAUGGAGAGGCUUACCUGAAAACUCUUCUCAUGGGGCAGGCACAUCCUCACACACCUGUAACCCCAUCCUUGAAUAAAAGCUGGUAGCUGGUCACUCAUCAGAGUGUUUUAACCCAUAUCUAGCCCAUGACUCUGCCGUUUUUCAAACUUACGUUCUCAUGUUCUAUGCAGAUCUAUGGGAAUUCUUUCCUUGAAGCUCCUGAUCACACAACCAUACUGGCAGUCGGCUUACCCACUACCUUCUGCUCACCCGCUUGCUACUCAUGCUGUCAUUCUCCCAGACUUCUGGUUGUUUCGCCACCAUUCUGCUGUCUCCCGUCUGCGCUACAAUUUUAGACCGUAAGUACCUAAACUUUUCCUUUUGUAAGUCAUUCUUUAGUCAUUACUAACACUCAAUUUUACCUCAGGGCCUUCUGAUCUUUAAACACUAAAACCUGUGGCUCCAUCUCUGUGGUGUUUCUCAGACUCUAAGCUUCUGGUUCCUGAUCUCCAGCUGUUACCUCUUCAGUCAUCCGUCAAACAUUUUAAUAAACUGUUUUUAGCU